GGGCACAUGGUGUAGUUGGUUAUCACAUCCGCUUAGCACUGUUAGGGUGUUUGCGGGGGGUGCUGGGUUCAAUUCCCAGUGUGUCCA